UGAGGAAUAUUGGUCAAUGGUCGUGAGACUGAACCAGCCAAGUAGCGUGCGGGAUGAAGGCCCUCCGGGUCGUAAACCGCUUUUAGACGGGGAUAAAAGGGCAUACGUGUAUGCCGUAUUGCAUGUACCGUCAGAAAAGGACCGGCUAAUUCCGUGCC
rnacentral:rRNA from 1 species